CGUACGAUACGAGUUUGAUCUGGCUCAGAUUGAACGCUGGCGGCAUGCCUUACACAUGCAAGUCGAACGGUAACGCGGGGCAACCUGGCGACGAGUGGCGAACGGGUGAGUAAUACAUCGGAACGUGCCCAGUAGUGGGGGAUAGCCCGGCGAAAGCCGGAUUAAUACCGCAUACGACCUACGGGCGAAAGCGGGGGACCGCAAGGCCUCGCGCUAUUGGAGCGGCCGAUGUCAGAUUAGGUAGUUGGUGGGGUAAAGGCCUACCAAGCCUACGAUCUGUAGCUGGUCUGAGAGGACGACCAGCCACACUGGGACUGAGACACGGCCCAGACUCCUACGGGAGGCAGCAGUGGGGAAUUUUGGACAAUGGGCGAAAGCCUGAUCCAGCCAUGCCGCGUGCGGGAAGAAGGCCUUCGGGUUGUAAACCGCUUUUGUCAGGGAAGAAACGUCUUGGGAUAAUACCCCGAGAUAAUGACGGUACCUGAAGAAUAAGCACCGGCUAACUACGUG
rnacentral:rRNA from 1 species